rnacentral:rRNA from 1 species
AUAACUUUCAACAACGGAUCUCUUGGCUCUCGCAUCGAUGAAGAACGCAGCGAAAUGCGAUAAGUAAUGUGAAUUGCAGAAUUCAGUGAAUCAUCGAAUCUUCGAACGCAUCUUGCGCUCCUUGGUAUUCCAUGGAGCAUGCCUGUUUGAGUGUCAUUAAA